GAUGAACGCUGGCGGCGUGCCUAAUACAUGCAAGUCGAGCGAACGGACGAGAAGCUUGCUUCUCUGAUGUUAGCGGCGGACGGGUGAGUAACACGUGGAUAACCUACCUAUAAGACUGGGAUAACUUCGGGAAACCGGAGCUAAUACCGGAUAAUAUUUUGAACCGCAUUGUUCAAAAGUGAAAGACGGUCUUUCUGUCACUUAUAGAUGGAUCCGCGCUGCAUUAGUUAGUUGGUAAGGUAACGGCUUACCAAGGCAACGAUGCAUAGCCGACCUGAGAGGGUCGACGGCCACCCGGGAAGUGAGAAAGGGCCGAGACUCCGAGGGGAGGAAGCAGUAGGGACUCUUCCGCGAGGGACGAAAGCCUGACGGAGCAACGCCGCGGGAGGGAUGAAGGUCUUCGGAUCGUAAAGCGCUGUAGUUAGGGAGGUACAUAUGUGUAAGUAACUGUGCACAUCUUGACGGUACCUAAUCAGAAAGCCACGGCUAACUACGUG
rnacentral:rRNA from 1 species